CCUACGGGGGGCUGCAGUGGGGAAUAUUGCGCAAUGGGCGAAAGCCUGACGCAGCAAUGCCGCGUGAGGGAUGAAGGCCUUCGGGUCGUAAACCUCUGUCAGAAGGGAAGAACCGCCAGGGUGCUAAUCAGCCCUGGUCUGACGGUACCUUCAAAGGAAGCACCGGCUAACUCCGUGCCAGCAGCCGCGGUAAUACGGAGGGUGCAAGCGUUAAUCGGAAUCACUGGGCGUAAAGCGCACGUAGGCCGUUUGGUAAGUCAGAGGUGAAAGCCCGU
rnacentral:rRNA from 1 species